UACGUAGGGGGCAAGCGUUGUCCGGAAUCAUUGGGCGUAAAGAGCGUGUAGGCGGUUCGGUAAGUCGGCUGUGAAAGUCCAGGGCUCAACCCUGGGAUGCCGGUCGAUACUGCCGGACUAGAGUUCGGAAGAGGCGAGUGGAAUUCCCGGUGUAGCGGUGAAAUGCGCAGAUAUCGGGAGGAACACCUAUGGCGAAGGCAGCUCGCUGGGACGUUACUGACGCUGAGACGCGAAAGCGUGGGGAUCAAACAGG
rnacentral:rRNA from 1 species